UCUGAAUGGGGAAACCCACCGGUCUUCGGACCGGUACCGUACGGUGAAUACAUAGCCGUACGGGGCGAACUCGGGGAACUGAAACAUCUAAGUACCCGAAGGAAAGGACAUCAAUUGAGACUUCCUUAGUAGUGGCGAGCGAACGGGAACCAGGCCAGUGGCUUUAGUGAGACAACCGGAACCGUUUGGAAAGACGGGCCAUAGUGGGUGACAGCCCCGUACGGGUAAUUCGAACUUUAGUCCUCGAGUAGGGCGGGACACGUGAAAUCCUGUCUGAACAUGGGGGGACCACCCUCCAAGCCUAAAUACUCGUAUGUGACCGAUAGCGAACCAGUACCGUGAGGGAAAGGUGAAAAGCACCCCGAUUAGGGGAGUGAAACAGUACCUGAAACCGAAUGCUUACAAGCAGUGGGAGCCCCCUUGUGGGGUGACCGCGUACCUCUUGCAUAAUGGGUCAGUGACUUAAUCUAUCUAGCAAGCUUAAGCCGUUAGGUGUAGGCGCAGCGAAAGCGAGUCUGAAUAGGGCGAAUGAGUUAGAUGGAUUAGACCCGAAACCCGGCGAUCUAGGCAUGACCAGGUUGAAGGUGCGGUAACACGCACUGGAGG
rnacentral:rRNA from 1 species